UGGGGAUAACCUUGCGAAAGUAAGACUAAUACCCAAUGAUAUCUCUAGAAGACAUCUGAAAGAGAUUAAAGAUUUAUCGGUGAUGGAUGGGGAUGCGUCUGAUUAGCUUGUUGGCGGGGUAACGGCCCACCAAGGCGACGAUCAGUAGGGGUUCUGAGAGGAAGGUCCCCCACAUUGGAACUGAGACACGGUCCAAACUCCUACGGGAGGCAGCAGUGAGGAAUAUUGGUCAAUGGGCGAGAGCCUGAACCAGCCAAGUAGCGUGCAGGAUGACGGCCCUAUGGGUUGUAAACUGCUUUUAUAAGGGAAUAAAGUGAGUCUCGUGAGGCUUUUUGCAUGUACCUUAUGAAUAAGGACCGGCUAAUUCCGUGCCAGCAGCCGCGGUAAUACGGAAGGUCCGGGCGUUAUCCGGAUUUAUUGGGUUUAAAGGGAGCGUAGGCCGGAGAUUAAGCGUGUUGUGAAAUGUAGACGCUCAACGUCUGCACUGCAGCGCGAACUGGUUUCCUUGAGUACGCACAAAGUGGGCGGAAUUCGUGGUGUAGCGGUGAAAUGCUUAGAUAUCACGAAGAACUCCGAUUGCGAAGGCAGCUCACUGGAGCGCAACUGACGCUGAAGCUCGAAAGUGCGGGUAUCGAACAGGAUUAGAUACCCUGGUAGUCCGCACGGUAAACGAUGGAUGCCCGCUGUUGGUCUGAAUAGGUCAGCGGCCAAGCGAAAGCAUUAAGCAUCCCACCUGGGGAGUAC
rnacentral:rRNA from 1 species